UCACUUAUUCUAUGUUUUGCAGUGCAAGUGUAGAUGGAAGGGUUUUUGUAUGGAAGAUUGAUGAGGGACCUGAUGAGGACAAUAAGCCACAGAUAACUGGAAAAAUCAUAAUUGCUGUUCAGAUUGUAGGAGAUGGAGAAUCCUGUCAUCCACGAAUCUGUUGGCACUCUNNNNNNNNNNNNNNNNNNNNGUCAGUGCAAGUGUAGAUGGAAGGGUUUUGUAUGGAAGAUUGAUGAGGGACCUGAUGAGGACAAUAAGCCACAGAUAACUGGAAAAAUCAUAAUUGCUGUUCAGAUUGUAGGAGAUGGAGAAUCCUGUCAUCCACGAAUCUGUUGGCACUCUCACAAACAAGUAAAAGCUAUCAUUUGUUUUAGUGCUAUCUCAUGGAUGCUUUCUUAAAUGGCUUUAUUUCAAUAUAUAUACUCAAUCCCUAUCUUCUCCAUUGUCUAUUUAGCUUGGAAAGUUGCAUCUACUAUUGAAUUUUCUGCUACGAUGGAAUGUCUGCAGUGUUAUAUAUCAAGCUCAUACUUCUGGUCAUCAAUAACUAUUCUGCAG
rnacentral:lncRNA from 1 species